CCCAAAAGAUCGAAUGGGGAGAUUCAUCGUCAGCUCAUUUUGUAUAUGUAUGAGUUAUGAUGUGAGUUACUCNUUGUAGUAUUGCUUGCACGUACUUAUGCAUUUAUUUGCAAGGUGUUGUCGGCGUGCACUUCUCCCCUAGUAGGACGUCGCGACCCGUUGGGUAUCGGUCUACGACCCGAGUNGGUAGACUUNUAAUAUUUUNAUAAUAUUAAAGACCCUUGGUGUUUUCUGACCGGCUGCCCGGCGGUAUUCGUACGGUAUUUAGCCGCAUUUANUNUUGCGUCCAUGUCCAUCGCAAGCGCGGCCAAUUUCUGGUAGUACGGACCU
rnacentral:rRNA from 1 species